UACGUAGGUGGCGAGCGUUGUCCGGAUUUAUUGGGCGUAAAGCGCGCGCAGGCGGUGCGGUAAGUCCGUCGCGAAAUCUCCCGGCUCAACUGGGAGGGUGCGGUGGAGACUGCCGGACUGGAGGCACUCAGAGGCCGGUGGAAUUCCCGGUGUAGUGGUGAAAUGCGUAGAGAUCGGGAGGAACACCAGUGGCGAAGGCGGCCGGCUGGGGGUGACCUGACGCUGAGGCGCGAAAGCGUGGGGAGCGAACCGG
rnacentral:rRNA from 1 species